CUAACUUUUUUUGUUUUCUUUGUCCUGGCAGUGAUGGCACAAGAUGUCCCUGGAGGCAGAUAAAAACAGUUUUGUGGUUUCCAAGGAGAGAAGUACAUCCUGUGGCUUUCAGGGUGCUGAAGAGAAAGAGGAGAUCCCAGGGAUGGGAGAGGACAGUGUUCUGGAAAUGCUGAGCUACUCCAAAUUUACAGACCUGGAGACAUGGCUGUGUAUGCCUUCUACACUGCUGCCGAGAAGUUUGGAAUCAUUAUGUGCCACCUCUCAGUCCCUGACACCUAGUGAAACUGCAGACGCUGAGAAGAAACCCAGACCGCCGGAGGGGGACACCCCGUUCUUGUCACCACCCACAAUGGCACCUCAGUCAUCAAGGUCACCGUCACCCAUUCCUAUGGGGUCCCCAGUGCCCUCUUCGUUGGAUUCUUCAGGGAGCUCUGUCCAGGGAGGGGUUAGCGUCAGGAAGCGCCGGCGUCUGGCUGCGAGUCCUGGGGGACUGCGCUGGAAUUCUUCAGAGCCUUGGAUCAACUGGCAGAUACGAGACACAUAAAAAGGUGAGUAAAUUGCUCAAGGCUAGUAUACCUGGAAGUGAGACUCAAACCUGCAACCUUGGGUCCAAAGGCAACAGCACUAACCACUACACUAUCAGCUGCCCUGUUUAUAAAACAAUAUCUUCCAGCAAAAUAUUUUUACUGUUAUUCUCUUACGCUUUUAGCCAAGAUGAUGAGAGGGUCAUCAUUUUUGGAUAGAAUGAUGUCUAAUAUGCAUCCAGAUAGGAGGAAGGAUAGUGGGAAAGUAUGACUUCAUUGCUCAGAAAGUGAAUGACAACUGGUUCCACUUGCUCCCUGGUGUCCAGUUCAUUUCUGUUAUUAAUUACAUCAGAUCAUGCACCUAUUCAUUUCAUUUUACCUUUUCAAUAACUAUUUGAGAUAAAAAGCAAAAUGACUUAGAUUCUUUUUUCAGUUUUACCACUGUGUACUGUCCACUGAACUGGCACAGAAAAUAAUUGCAGCUAGGUAAAAUAAAUGGAAUGUAGAGGCAUGAUGGAUACUUUGA
rnacentral:lncRNA from 1 species